UACGGGAGGCAGCAGUGGGGAAUAUUGCACAAUGGGCGCAAGCCUGAUGCAGCCAUGCCGCGUGUAUGAAGAAGGCCUUCGGGUUGUAAAGUACUUUCAGUCGUGAGGAAGGUGUUAAGGUUAAUAACCUUAGCAAUUGACGUUAGCGACAGAAGAAGCACCGGCUAACUCCGUGCCAGCAGCCGCGGUAAUACGGAGGGUGCGAGCGUUAAUCGGAAUUACUGGGCGUAAAGGGCACGCAGGCGGUUAAUUAAGUUGGAUGUGAAAUCCCCGGGCUUAACCUGGGAAUGGCAUUCAAGACUGGUUAGCUAGAGUCUUGUAGAGGGGGUAGAAUUCCAUGUGUAGCGGUGAAAUGCGUAGAGAUGUGGAGGAAUACCGGUGGCGAAGGCGGCCCCUGGGACAAAGACUGACGCUCAUGUGCGAAAGCGUGGGGAGCAAACG
rnacentral:rRNA from 1 species